rnacentral:rRNA from 1 species
CCUACGGGGGGCAGCAGUGAGGAAUAUUGGUCAAUGGACGCAAGUCUGAACCAGCCAUGCCGCGUGCAGGAAGACGGCUCUAUGAGUUGUAAACUGCUUUUGUACGAGGGUAAACGCAGAUACGCGUAUCUGUCGGAAAGUAUCGUACGAAUAAGGAUCGGCUAAAUCCGUUCCAGCAGCCGCGGUAAUACGGAGGAUUCAAGCGUUAUCCGGAUUUAUUGGGUUUAAAGGGGUCGUAGGCGGUCGGAUAAGUUAGAGGUGAAAUCCCGAGGCUCAACUUCGGAAUUGCCUCUGAUACUGUUCGGCUAGAGAGUAGUUGAGGUAGGCGGAAUGUAUGGUGUAGCGGUGAAAUGCUUAGAGAUCAUACAGAACACCGAUUGCGAAGGCAGCUUACCGGGCUACUUCUGACGUUGAGGCACGAAAGCGUGGGGAGCAAACAGGAUUAGAUACCCGUGUAGUC